rnacentral:misc_RNA from 1 species
UAAUCAAUUCCAUUUCUCCUUGUUCCAAGUACCUCCGCUGCAAUAGAAAUUACUGUUUCUCUGCCUCCGCAGCUUUAAAAGGAGCUAUAAGUUUUCCGGUGAAGUGUAGUAGUAGCAGUAAUUUGAGCUGUGAAAGGAGUUGCAGAUUUGGGAUAGUUAGGGCUUCUUGUGCCGAGGAGGUGGUGGUGGAUGAUCAUGAGAUUGAUGACGUGGAGAGGAAGGUUCUGAGAGUGGGAAUCAUUUGUGGUGGACCGUCUGCUGAGCGGGGAAUUUCAUUGAACUCUGCUCGAUCUGUGCUCGAUAACAUACAGGGGGACGAUUUGCAUGUUAGCUGCUAUUACAUUGAUAGCAACCUCCAUGCCUUUGCCAUAUCCACUGCCCAGGUAUACUCAAAUACUCCUGCUGACUUUGAUUUCAAACUUGAGAGCCUUGCCCAAGGCUUCCGGUCAUUAUCUGACUUCACAGAACACCUUGCUUCUUCGGUGGACAUAGUUUUUCCUGUUAUACAUGGUCGUUUUGGUGAAGAUGGUGGCAUUCAG